rnacentral:rRNA from 1 species
AGUGAACGCUGGCGGCAGACCUAACACAUGCAAGUCGAACGGCAGCACAGUAAGAGCUUGCUCUUACGGGUGGCGAGUGGCGGACGGGUGAGGAAUACAUCGGAAUCUACUUUUUCGUGGGGGAUAACGUAGGGAAACUUACGCUAAUACCGCAUACGACCUACGGGUGAAAGCAGGGGAUCUUCGGACCUUGCGCGAUUGAAUGAGCCGAUGUCGGAUCAGCUAGUUGGCGGGGUAAAGGCCCACCAAGGCGACGAUCCGUAGCUGGUCUGAGAGGAUGAUCAGCCACACUGGAACUGAGACACGGUCCAGACUCCUACGGGAGGCAGCAGUGGGGAAUAUUAGACAAUGGGCGCAAGCCUGAUCCAGCCAUACCGCGUGAGUGAAGAAGGCCUUCGGGUUGUAAAGCCCUGUUGUUGGGAAAGAAAAGCAGCAGGUUAAUACCCCGCUGUUCUGACGGUACCCAAAGAAUAAGCACCGGCUAACUACGUG